GACGUAGGGCGCGAGCGUUGUCCGGAUUUAUUGGGCGUAAAGAGCUCGUAGGCGGUCUGUUGCGUCCGCUGUGAAAACCCGGGGCUUAACCCCUGGCUUGCAGUGGAUACAGACAGACUAGAGGUAGGUAGGGGAGAAUGGAAUUCCCGGUGUAGCGGUGAAAUGCGCAGAUAUCGGGAGGAACACCGGUGGCGAAGGCGGUUCUCUGGGCCUUACCUGACGCUGAGGUGCGAAAGCGUGGGGAGCAAACAGG
rnacentral:rRNA from 1 species